rnacentral:rRNA from 1 species
UAUCUCUGUAGAGUCUGCAUAUCAAUAAGCGGAGGAAAAGAAACUAACUAGGAUUCCCUUAGUAACGGCGAGUGAAGCGGGAAGAGCUCAAAUUUGAAAUCUUCAAGGUUCUACCUUGACGAAUUGUAGUUUAAAGAAGUGUUUUCUGUUGAAGUUUUGGUAAAAGUUCUUUGGAAUAGGACAUCAUAGAGGGUGAGAAUCCCGUAUUUGACCAUUAUCUUCCAGCUGUGUGAUACACUUUCAAAGAGUCGGAUUGUUUGGGAAUGCAGUCCAAAAUGGGUGGUAAAUUUCAUCUAAAGCUAAAUAUUGGCGAGAGACCGAUAGCGAACAAGUACCGUGAGGGAAAGAUGAAAAGAACUUUGAAAAGAGAGUUAAACAGUACGUGAAAUUGUCAAAAGGGAAGCGUUUGACACCAGUGUUGUUUUUCCGAAAAUCAAUUAAGAAUGUUUUAUUUUUGAGGAGUUAUGACUUCAUCGGCUUGCUUCUUUCUUUACUGGAACUUUCUUAAUGCACUUUUCGGUUAACAAGUCAACAUCAAUUUCUUUUGUUGUAAAAGAGUAUGAGGAAGGUGGCUUUCUUUUCGGAGAAAGUGUUUAUAGCCUUGUGCCUCUGCAAUCGGAGAGAUUGAGGUCUGCAGCGUAGAUCCUUCGGGGUUAGAUACGUUUGUGCUAAGCUAUAGCCUUUCAUAGACAACUUGUUGACUAUGAUCAGUCAUGUAGCUUACUCGCUUAUGUCAUUUUACCUACGCUUAGGAUGUUGAGUAGCGACAUACGCAC